UACAGAGGGUGCAAGCGUUUAAUCGGAAUUACUGGGCGUAAAGCGCGCGUAGGUGGUUUGUUAAGUUGGAUGUGAAAUCCCCCGGGCUCAACCUGGGAACUGCAUUCAAAACUGACAAGCUAGAGUAUGGUAGAGGGUGGUGGAAUUUCCUGUGUAGCGGUGAAAUGCGUAGAUAUAGGAAGGAACACCAGUGGCGAAGGCGACCACCUGGACUGAUACUGACACUGAGGUGCGAAAGCGUGGGGAGCAAACAGG
rnacentral:rRNA from 1 species